rnacentral:rRNA from 1 species
AGAUAGAAGUUACUUCGGUACAUCGGUGACAGGUGGUGCAUGGUUGUCGUCAGCUCGUGUCGUGAGACGUUGGGUUAAGUCCCGCAACGAGCGCAACCCCUAUUGUUAGUUGCCAUCAUUCAGUUGGGCACUCUAGCGAGACUGCCGGUAAUAAACCGGAGGAAGGUGGGGAUGACGUCAAAUCAUCAUGCCCCUUAUGACCUGGGCUACACACGUGCUACAAUGGUUGGUACAACGAGUUGCGAGUCGGUGACGGCGAGCUAAUCUCUUAAAGCCAAUCUCAGUUCGGAUUGUAGGCUGCAACUCGCCUACAUGAAGUCGGAAUCGCUAGUAAUCGCGGAUCAGCACGCCGCGGUGAAUACGUUCCCGGGCCUU